GAUGAACGCUGGCGGCGUGCCUAAUACAUGCAAGUCGAGCGAAUGGAUUAAGAGCUUGCUCUUAUGAAGUUAGCGGCGGACGGGUGAGUAACACGUGGGUAACCUGCCCAUAAGACUGGGAUAACUUCGGGAAACCGGAGCUAAUACCGGAUAAUGUGUCUCCUCACAUGUGGGGAUACUGAAAGAUGGCUUCGGCUAUCACUUACAGAUGGGCCCGCGGCGCAUUAGCUAGUUGGUGAGGUAACGGCUCACCAAGGCGACGAUGCGUAGCCGACCUGAGAGGGUGAUCGGCCACACUGGGACUGAGACACGGCCCAGACUCCUACGGGAGGCAGCAGUAGGGAAUCUUCCGCAAUGGACGAAAGUCUGACGGAGCAACGCCGCGUGAGUGAUGAAGGUUUUCGGAUCGUAAAACUCUGUUGUUAGGGAAGAACAAGUAUCGUUCGAAUAGGGCGGUACCUUAACGGUACCUAACCAGAAAGCCACGGCUAACUACGUGCCAGCCGCCGCGGUAA
rnacentral:rRNA from 1 species